rnacentral:rRNA from 1 species
CUACGGGCGGCUGCAGUGAGGAAUAUUGCACAAUGGGGGGAACCCUGAUGCAGCAACGCCGCGUGGAGGAUGACGCAUUUCGGUGUGUAAACUCCUUUUAUCAGAGAAGAAAAUGACGGUAUCUGAUGAAUAAGCUCCGGCUAACUCCGUGCCAGCAGCCGCGGUAAUACGGAGGGAGCAAGCGUUAUUCGGAAUCACUGGGCGUAAAGGACGCGUAGGCGGGUUUUUAAGUCGGGUGUGAAAUCCUAUGGCUCAACCAUAGAACUGCACUUGAAACUGGGGACCUAGAGUAUGGAAGGGGCAGGUGGAAUUUGUGGUGUAGGGGUAAAAUCCGUAGAUAUCACUAGGAAUACCGAAAGCGAAGGCGACCUGCUGGGACAUUACUGACGCUGAGGCGUGAAAGCGUGGGGAGCAAACAGGAUUAGAUACCCUUGUAGUC